CUGACAUGAGCUUAGAAGUACACAGGGCCAGAAAAGCCAGGAAUACUCUUCAAAAGAACAAAAGAAGAGCACAACUUACACUAAACAGAUUUUUUUAAAUGUAACAAAUCUACAACAAAGACACAAGAGCCCAUAUGGAUAUCAGAGAACAAGAACAGAACGUCCUUGACACACAUCAGUGUAUUUCAGAAUUUCAUAAGAUGAGGGCGACGUGUGACGUGAGCGGGAAAAGAAAUAAACUGAGAAACGGUGCUGGAAUGAUCGAGCUGGUCACUAGGAAAAAACAAAGUUAUAUCCCCUGCUGUUCUACUAACAGCAAAUCAAAUGCCAUACAAGAAAACGAAACUCAUAAAAGAGAAGCAGGUGAAUAUUGCUACACUGUUGAGGUGUGUGUGUGUCUGGACAGCAGGUUCUGUGAAGACACGGUGGGGACGACGCACCUGCCCACGUGGAGCCCACACUCAGGCUCGAGAGCACUGACGCGGGAGCCGGCACCGGCUGUCAAAGCGCGGGCUGGCGAGGCACACGAACACGACAACAAGCCCACUUCCUUGACGCAGAGGUCCGACUCUAAGGUUUUUACCCCAAAAAGGGGGCCAGGAUGAAGCAAGUCCUAGUGUUCUGAUGCAACGCCCGGCCACAGAGAGCUUCAAAUUUCAGUGAAACCACUUACCAACGUCUCCCCACACAGACGGCAAGCCUGACAGUCACCCCGCGGAAGCGACACGAAAGCCGGGACACCCGCCCCGCACAGCUGGUGCCUGACAGUGACACACCGCGGUGCAGCCGAGGGUGUGGGCACUAACCACACCACAGGGGUCUCUGGGACUUCCUUUAGGCCUUCUCUUGCCUCCCGGCCCCUGUCGUCUGACUCCCGGCCUGGAACUCUCUCCACGCUCUCCGUUCUCCUCCAUCAUCCGGCUCCCCAGACCAAACUCCUGGACAGUGAGCACAGAUGCCUCCUUCCGCUUCACUCCUGGCAUCAUUCAGCCACAACCCCACGGAUUCUACCCCUGCACCCUCCCUAAUCCAUCCUCCCCUGCCCCACAAUAAGUGCCCCUGCCCAUCCAUCAUUUCUCACCUGAAUUACUGCAGCGAACUCCCAACUGCCCACCCUACCCAGAGAGAGCUUUCUGAAACACAAACAGGAUAUAUUAUUCUCCAUAAAAUUCUUCAUAGCUUCCCCACUCAAACCCCUGAGUUAACACAAAUAAGGUCUGACCCCUACCUCUCCAACUUCCCAGCCUGUUUCCUGAAUUUCCAGGUCACUCCUGGUCUCAGAGACAACGUUCCCAUCCCAUCCCAUCCCAUCCCUGCAUGGAUUAAAGUCAGCACUGCUCCCCAAACUCUAGAGACCACUAAUUCUCUUGGGGACUCCUGUAAGGGUGAUCUCCCCUAUACUGAGGCCUUUUCUAACCCUCCACUCCAAUCUUCCUCCCACUACAAAACUCAUCACCCCCUCCUCUGGGCCCCUACACAUACAGCUGUUAUAGCACCCGUAAUGGGUUAUCACCCAUACGACACCUGUUUGCAGAUCAUGGAAGCUCACUGGACCACUAAUAUUAAAUCUUA